rnacentral:rRNA from 1 species
GACAGAGGGUGCAAACGUUGUUCGGAAUUACUGGGCGUGAAGCGCGUGUAGGCGGCUAAGUAAGUCGGGCGUGAAAUCCCACGGCUCAACCGUGGAAGUGCACUCGAAACUGCAUAGCUAGAGUCCUGGAGAGGAAGGUGGAAUGCUUGGUGUAGAGGUGAAAUUCGUAGAUAUCAAGCGGAACACCGGUGGCGAAGGCGGCCUUCUGGACAGUGACUGACGCUGAGACGCGAAAGCGUGGGGAGCAAACAGG